CCCUUAGAUGUUCUGGGCAGCACGCGCGCUACAAUGGUCUUCGCAAACGGAUGCAUUCUCGAAGGAGAAUGCCAAUCUUGGAAUCUAUGCCUUGGUCGGGACAGUUGCUUGCAAUUUUUCGACUCGAACCAGGAAUUCCUUGUAAUCGUGAUUCAUCACAUCACGAUGAAUACGUCGCUGCCCUUUGUACACACCGCCCGUCGCUCCUACCGAUCGAAGAGUUAGGUGAAUUGUUUUGAUCGAUAAGAUUUGACUAUGGUCAACUCUCGUUGUGAAAUUCUGUGAAUCUGACUGUUUAGAGGAAGGAAAAGUCGUAACA
rnacentral:rRNA from 1 species